rnacentral:ncRNA from 1 species
AUAUUCCGACAGGGGAGCGCCACAGCGCUGAGAGUGCGGCAGUCAGGCCGCAGACCCUCUGAACCUCGCCCAGGUCAUUCUGGGUAGGAAGUUCGGUCACUACUCAAG